rnacentral:lncRNA from 1 species
AUCACUUUAUACCUUAACUGGACACGCAGCCCAUCUGUAUGUAGUGGUUUUAAUGCAAUGCCCAAGUGAUUUGGAACCAAGUAGCUGUUUCUCAGGUCCUAUAAGAAUUGACUCUACAGAAAUACAAAUCUUGUAGUUGAUAUGGUACUGUUAUCCAGGUACAGAUUCUCUAAAUCUUGUGAUUAGCAGAAUGGGGCUUGUGAUGAAAAUUGCUUGGUUUUAGGAUAAUUAUUGAAUUGAAGAGAAUGACUAGGCUUUUCCUCUAAACUAGAAAUGUUAGUACCUUACCAGCUAAUGAAAUGUGUGAAGAAAACAUGUUGGUAAGUAUGGUAAUUUCCUAUAAAAAUUUUUAAUUAUAUUUGGAUGGGAAUCACUUCAGUUGGGUGAUAUUGUCGAUUUCUUUAGAUUAGAAAUAGAUGAGAAUAGGAUUUUCAUAACAAACUUAAAAAGCUGCUUGUAUUCUAAGAACAAAGGCCUGUUGAGAAGACUUUUCUAAAAAAAUGAAUGAAUGUUCUGGACUGGGGUUGUAACUAAGCAGCAGAGUGCUUACCUAGCAUGCAAGAGGUCUUGUAUUUGAUCCCUGGCACUGCAAAACAAAGUUUUAAAUGAAUGUUGCAAGCACUCUGUACUAAGGGCUUGCAGCAGUUUGCUUUUGCAACUGAAUAGAUGUGCUUAUAUCUUAGGUUGAGAGUUUUAAGCAAAUGAUUUUUUUUUUUACAUUGGAUAAUAUUUUGUUUUCUAAAUAGAUAAAAACAUAAAAAUUGUACUUAUUAAUGGGGUACCAUGUACUAUUUCAGUACAUGUGUACAUUAUGGGAUGUUUAAAUUGGUUUUACUCUUGAUUCAUAGUCCUAGAUGUAGAUCACCUAUAAAAACUUACAGUAUAUAAUUUUAUAUAAGAAUAUAAUAGUUCAUAUAAGGUCUGUUAUGAUUUUGGGCCCAUUUUAAUGCACCUUUGUCAGUUUCAUUGAAGUACUUACAGAAUUGAAAACUUGGGAUUUAAUGGAUCAAGCAUAUCUGUCUCAAGCAUUCAUCAUGUCUUUAUGGUGAAAACUUUCAAAAACCUUUCUUGUAGAUUUUUUAUAUGGGUGGUGUGUUAUUGUUACCCAUAGUCUCCCUGUUGUGCAGUAGCACAUUAGAACUCUUUCCUCCUAUCUUGUUCUUAGUGUCAGCCUUUCCUCAUCCCUCCCCGCCCCUAUAUAAAUGAAAAAAUCCCCUGCCCCUCCAAACUGCAUAUUAAAAUUAACUUAAUAGGAAAGGGAUAGGUAUUUCUGUGGUUCUCAAUCUUGAUGCCUGUGGAGAGUCCUGAUUUAAAUUUUUUGGAGGAGUGCCCAGGUGAAUCUAAAUUAUAUUUAGUGUUAAGCACCCACUGAUUUUUCCCAACUACAAAUUUAAGAGAACUGGAUUGUAUUGUAAAUGAGUGGUAGUGGUUUACAGGUUUUCAUAAAUAACUGAAAUAGACUAUAUAACUCAAUUUGUUUUAGUAGUGACUUUUACUUGUCUGGUAUAAGUCUUCCCUUUAAAUCAUAAAAGUUUCCCUGAAAUGGGCCUACAGUUUCAUAAGACUAUCUUUUUAGAUGAGUCUCUUCCCAUAAACUUGUUUUUCGCUAAAGCCUUAACUGUUCUCACACAUUCCUUGAUUGUUUCUUAUCUUUCUAAAUUUUUUUUAGAUAUUUUCCUUCACAAUUUCACCUGUACUCUAGUAAAUAAUUUUUAUCAAGAUUGUAGAUUUAUUUGGGCAUUCCUGAUGAUCUCUAUUUCAAUUAUAGUUUGAGGGUUUUUAAAAAAUAUUCUUGAGUUGUACAUGGACAUAACUUAUUUAUUUAUUUAUUUAUCUGGUGCUGGGGAUUGAACCCAGUGCCUCACGUGUGUGAGGCAAAGCUCUACCGCUGAGCUACAACCCUAGCCCUAGUGUGAGCUUUUAUGUCUUAGAGCUAUAAGUACAUUUAUUUCUGCUUUUUUUUUUUGUAUAUAUUUAAUUAAUUGCACAAGUGUUGCUGUCUAGACAAAAAUGGUAUGUUGCUAUAGCACUGUUGGCUUGCAACUGUUGCUAUCCUGGAAAAUAGGUUAAAAUUUAUCAGUUGUAAUAUAAAUUGGAAAGAAGGAAAAUGUGGGUUACAUUAAAAAUUGAACAUAAAAAGUGGGGAUGUAGCUCAGUGGCAGAGCACUUAGCAUGCUCAGGGCCCUAGGUUCAAUCCCCACCUCGCACCUUUAAAAAAAAAAAGGUGGCUCAUACAGAGAUUCAUGACAAGUGUGGAAUAGGCACAGAUCCCAGUUCACUUUUGCCAUCUAUCAUGUCUAGACCAGAAUUCCUUACUCUGAGAGGUAGAAGAGGAAAUAAUCGCUUGUGAUACAAUGCUGGAAAAAGGCCACACUUGUUUUUAAUGACAAUUGCAAACUUGUGACUAAAAUUAAAAAGUAGUUGGGCUGGGGAUGUGGCUCAAGCGGUAGCACACUCACCUGGUGUGCGUGGGGCGCUAGGUUCGAUCCUCAGCACCACAUAAAAAUAAAGAUGUUAUGUCCACCGAAAACUAAAAAAUAAAUAUUUAAAAAAAAUUCUCUCUCUAAAAAAAAAAGUAGUUUGUAACCUUAGGCUUGGCAGAAGAAGCUGGGCUAGUAAUAGUUUUCUCUGCCGUGUUGCUAAUGCAGCAGACCACUGUGGCUUGUUUUACUGCUGAAUCUUUUCUGGAUUGCCUCAGCCAUGGUGUACGAUCUCAAGCGUACAGAGUGCUAUUGGUGGGAAAGACUUCUUUUGGGGGGGUGAUACUGGGGAUUGAACCCAGAGGCACUUAACCGCUGAGCAACAUUCCCAGUCCUUUUUUAUAUUUUCUUAGAGAUAGGGUCUCACUGAGUUGCUGAGGCUAGGUUUGAACUCAGGAUCCUCCUGCCUCAGCCUCCCAAGUGGCUGGGAUUACAGGUGCAUGCCACCACGCCUGGCUGGGAAAUACUUUUUAAUAGAUACUACUGUACAUCUUCAAAGAGAUGAAUGAUUAGGUCUUUGUUUUGUUUCCCUUUCACUGAGGAGGAUACUGCCUAGUAGAUCUUAGUGCAGUGAUAGGCUGCAGCCACCAGCAAAUGACCUUCCCAUUAGUGGAAGUCAGGGUCCAGAAUUGUGAUAAAAAAGGAAAUUAGAGUAUUCCUUGCUCUGUUUAACAUUAGGAAGACCAAAGUGAAAGGUCUAAUUAAAGCUACUGUUAAUGCUCAAGACUGUUGAGUGCCUUUACCUGGUGACUGAUCUGUGAGGAGACUCAGUGGUCUGAUUUUGUUCAAGCUUGUGCAGGGAUUCCAGAACUACUACAAUGUGAUAGUGUAACUGGGGGGCUAGUUUAGUGAUAAGAUUUUGUAGUCCUAGUUAAGUAUGAGCCUUGGUCAAGUAAGUCUCAGGAAAAAAACUAAAGUAUGGUAAAAUAUACCAGAAUUACAAUCUGUAGGCUAUUCCAGCCUUUCCAGCAUCAGUAAAGGUGUUGGAUAUGUGUUGAAUGCUGCAGUCAUAGGGAGAAGCUGUUUAAUAUAUUUGGUCUUAAGCAUUUAUUUUCUUUGUCUCCUGGAAACACAGAUUUCUUUUUUCUUUUCUUUUUGGCACGGGAGAUUGAGCGGGAAGUACUGGAUAUUCAAUUUUGAGAUGGCAGAAAUAAUCUAAUAUUUAGAUACUCAUGUCUAGCAAUGAAUAUUUCCCAUGUGCAAGUCUUCAUAUGGAUUAUUUUAUUGACUUGGGUCAACACCGUUUAGAAAAACAGGGAAGUUUCUAAUGUUGACAUUCUGAUCUGUGUCCCUAACUUGCAGAAAGUAUCAAUACUGUUUUUUUGCUGGAAUUUUUUUUUAGUAUGGUUUGAAGGAUGGGCAGGACCCUACACAGCUUUUGGGUUGAGAUAGUGACCUGGGUUUUUGACUGACAACUGCUUCAUGAAGCCAAGUAAAUGACAGUCCCUUUGGGAAGCAUGGUGAGGAGUGACUUUUUUGAGUGUUGACCUAAGUCACAUAUCUUCUGUUCUCAGUUCAUGCAGUGACCUGUCUCAGGGCCAUUUAUUUGAACCAGAUUUUUAAAAAGUAGUUGACUGAGGCUGAUCCAGAAAAUGACUCAGACCACAACCUCUUGCUCCUGAAGAUAAUCGAAUGUGCACAGAGAAUUCACCAAAUAUAUUAGAAAGGGAGAUUCAUGGUUUUCUUAAAGAAAUACAUGUGGAGUGGGGCACUCCAUCUUCAACUUCUAAGAGUACAUAGGUAUGAAAUAAUUCCUCUUUUUUCCACCUAAAUGGUCAAUUGUUUGGGGACUGUUUUUGUAGUUGAAGAAAUGACUUAAAUUUUUCAGUCUCUGUAUAGGACCUUGGGAACUAGUCAACUGUUCAGAAUGGGAAGGAUAGUAAUGAAGGAAGUCUCUUGCUCACUGUUUGUCACCUGACCAUCUCACCUACUCUAUUGAAGCCAGAAACCAAGAGCAGAUUACUUUGUCUGAUGUCCAGUUCAUGGAAGAUGACUUCACAAAAACUGCCCAUCUCUCUGAUCUGUAGAUGUGCUCUUGUUUUAAAAAUCUUUUCCGUUUUCAUUAUGUAUUUGUAAAAUCAAGCAGUAGAGCUGUAUGCAAAAAAAUAUAUAUAUAUUUAAUAUUUUUACAAGUAUCAAUGUGUUGGUGGAAGUAUACUGGGUCCCUGAAGUGGUUACAUGUUCAGCAAGGAAGUAAGUUGUAAGUUAAUUCACCAGUUUGUGUGUGACCACAGGUGAUCGUAUCUCCAAUAUAGGGUGACCAGUUGUCCUGGUUUUCCUUGGAGCUAGGGAUUUAAGCAGAGCUUUCAAUUCUCAAACCAGGAUGGUUGGUCACCAUAAAAUGGGGUCUUGUACAAGCAUAGAAAGUGUUUCCCACUCUCACCAGCUUAGCAGAAUUCCGGUUCUGCUUUGGCUGUCAGUGGGAUCCUGGUGGAGUGGAAGUGUUGAUUGAAUUAAUUUACUCAGUCCUGACUUCUAAAGAUCCAUCUGUUGUUUAACUUGAUGUCUUUCCAUUAAUUUUGUGAUUCUGGAACUUCCUGAUUCCUGACAUUCCAAGCCUUGUUCUGUAUGCUUUAAAGUCUGGAUGCAAAGUUCCGAAAUCUUUGGUUUAAAGGGUCUAUCAGAGGUAGGAAUAAAUUGACAGAAAUAGAAAAAUAGGGAGGAGGUAAACAAGAAUGGUGUGUUGAGGGUAAGGGGUAUGAGACUAGCAAACAAAAAUAAAGCUUAGUUCUCUCAGCCAGGAGUAAGGAGCCACUGCUCCCUGGGGAGCACAGUAAGUGAGUCAGGAAGAUGUUACCAUGGUGUUUGAGUAACAUCCAUGGAGUAGUAAGCCGUGACCAGGCACCAGCUGAGCUGAGUGGUUUGGUGGCAUGCAAAGAUACUUUGAAUUGGACAAAUGACUGGACAGCCUUGAAGGGCCAUUUUUACUUCAUUGCAUCAUAGGACCAUGGCCUUUUGUCAAUUAAUUUCCUUGCAAAGGAAAUGGGGAUUUGGUCCCAGGUAUGCUGUGUGGGUCAUUGUAGCUUUGAGAUUUCUUCAUCAGCUGCUUUCUGUUACAAGUCUUAAAAUAUAACCGCCUUUAAUAGGACCAACAGAAAGAAAUGGGUUCAAGCAUUCAUCCAGCAACUACUUCAUGAGCACUUGGUUGUAUGCCAGGUGUUACCCCGCACUGAAAAUAUGUGUGUAAGACAGUGUCCUUGUGAUGUUUUUAUUCAUGAAAGAUAGAUACAAAAAUGAGAUGGGAAUAAUGUGCUUAUAAGGCAAAAGGACAGGAAGCAAGAAAGUAAAAAAUUCAGAAGUGUAGUGUGUAGGACAGCAAUGAUCAUGACCUGAUAACAUCUCUAGAAUCUGCCUUCAGCUGCUGGGGGCAAGAAUUCUGAAGCACUGUUAAGGAAACCUGGUGGAUGGGAGCCUUUUGUAGUAUUCUGACCAGAGCAUUUUGCCUACAUGUGAGCAGCAGGACAUAGCCUAGAGAAAUUGAUAAAACCAUACAGGUGCCAAAGGGCUCAUAGUUACUGCCAGACAAUCCCAAUGUCUCAUACUUCUUGGAUCCUUUCUCAGGCUUCCAAAGGACUGAUUCACAGUCCUCUCAAGUUACCAAUACCUCCCCUCCACACCAGACCUUGAUGACUUCAAAGUACUUCAAAGCUCAAUCAGACAAAUGUUCUUUGUUCCUGCCAUCACAGGCACUAGUCUUGCAACUGUAUCUCUAACCUUGACCACCUCAAUUGGACUAUUCACAUGAGCAUACAAACAUGGCUCUCUGUUCAGUCUUAAAAACAGGCUCCUUUGACCUCACAGUCCCUCCCUUAAGUGCCUGCUCCUCUUCUACAUUCCUCUGAGCAACACUAGAAAGAUUACAUUUUUCCCUGAUUUCUCAUACCACAUUCUUAGCAUACCACUGAAAUAAAGAUUUAGCAAGGUGAUUUUCACAUUGCCGAGUAUACUAUUUUUCUGAUUUUAAAUUCCAGUGUUUGAUAUUUGAAAUAAUCAAUCUCAGCCUAUUGGCUAGAAUCAAAUAAAAUGAUUGACCAAAGUAGUUUUCUGGAGAUAAUUUCUUCUUUGUUUACUUUUUUUUUUUUUUUAAAUAGUGGGGAUUAAACUCGACCUAAUGUAUGCUAUGCAAGUACUCUGCUACUGAGCUACCCAUCCUGCUAGUCUCUUAACCAUGUGAUGUUGUCCAGUCCCAUCCAUUUGCCAGAAAGUCCCAAAUUUUUAUUUAUUUUUAUGCCAGGGAUUGAACCCAGGGGCGCUUAAACACUGACAGAGUCUUGUUAGAUUGCUAAGGCUGGCUUUGCACUUGUGAUCCUCCUGCCUCAGCCUCCUCAGUUUCUGGGAUUGUAGUUGUGCACCACCAUACCUGGCUGAAAAGCCCUAAUAUAUGUUCUUAUGCCCGUGUCUCCCAUAGCUUGCAGAGUUUCAUAUCCAUCUGCCUACUUAAUGUGACUCAAAUCUAACUAGCAUCUCAAACUAAGUUCCUGAUCUCUCACACUCCUAAGGUUUUCUUUCUUUUUUUAAAGUUUUUUAAUAGUUGUAGAUGAACACAAUAUCUUAUUUUUAUUUUUUAUGUGGUGCUGAGGAUCGAACCCAGUGCCUCACACAUGCUAUAACCCAGGCCUCCUGGAGUUUUCUUAUCUCAGUAAAUUGUUCAUGCAGUUUUCAUUAACACCUGUUUCAUCCAUGUGUAGUCCUAUAAUCAUACCUCCAAAUACAUCCUUCUCAUCUCCAUUGCCCCUACCCUCAUCCAGGCUUCCUAAAAGUUUUUGCUACAUUUCUUCCCCUUCCCCCCAGUUGUAGCCCAUUCUCUGCAUAAUCAAGAGUAUUCUUUUGAAACUAGAACUGAUCUUGCCUCAUGCUGCUUACCCUCAUCCCCUGAGGCUGCUUAAUGCAAAUGGAAUAAAAUCAAACUUGCUCCUGAUGUCCUAUAAAACUCUAUUUGCUUCUCUACCAUCAUCUUUUCAUUCUCUCUCCCAUUCAUUAAGCUCUAAUGAUAUUGGCCUUGCUGUUCCUGGAACACACCAAACUCAUUCUUAAGAGCCUUUAUACACACCCUUUAAUGUGUCUCAUAUCUCUUGGGGGUUCCUUACACAUUUCUGCUUUGAUGUAUUCCUCUCCCCACACUUUCUAAACCAGUUUUCUUGAUAGUAUUUAUCCACCUAACAUUCUCUUGUUUUUGCUUAUUACAUCUCACACAUUAGAAGGUAAGCUCCCUGGGGUCAGAAGUAUUUCUUACCACUGUUUACAGUGGUGAUGGGGGGUGGGGGACAGGGAAGAAGGUGCUAAACACUGAUUGACAUAGUGCAUACUGGUACUUGUGGGCUUGGACUUGAGGUUCCCCUGGAGAAAUCACUGCCACUCAGUAGUUCUCUGGCAGUCAGGCCUCACUGACACUCAGCAGUCACAGGUUGACACUUGGCUUGUAGUACAUACUCAGGUCACAUGACUUCACCUCACUGAUAUUUGCCCCCAUCUGGCUCCUGGGAUGCACUUCUGGAGCUCACAGAUAGGUGGUUGGCUGGCAAACUUUGUGAGAUUGUCUUCUGUUGAUCUUUACCCCCAAUGUCCUUGCCCCUUGUGACACACAUAACUGGUAAAUCAUGCAUGCCAUUGUUUUCUCAUCUGUGAAGGAGCCCUUGCUGCACUGCCCUGCCCUGUUCCUGACUCAGCCUGGCCUACUGCUGCCAGGACUUACUUUGUACUCCCCAUUUCACAGAGGGACAACUGUGGCCCAAAGGCCUGGAGGCUGGUUCCCAGGUCACACUGUGAGCAUGAGAUGAAGCUGCACUGAUAUUCAGCCACUGGUGACCAGGCCAGGGGCCUGGACAAGACUCUGUCCUGCAGAGGAGAGGCAGCCUCUGAAGUCAGCCCAGAGAGUGCCCAGAUGGAAGAGGGCAGGCUUAGGAAAGAGGCACUUUUUGGACAGCCAUCUGGAUCUCUGGCACCACCUGCUGAUUAGAGCCAGUCAGUGCUGGUAGUUCUUGGUUAUCCAGGACCAGACCUUAAGAUUCAUAUCCUUGUUCCUGUCUUUAUUUGAACCCAGCAUGGCUACUCUGAGCACCCAUAGUCUCCCCUCUGAUGAGGGGUGGAGCACAGCCUUCUCAGAAGGCCAUUGUCUUCUGAGAAGCUCUGACCUACCUGAGUUAGCCAGACCUAGGUUCAAAUUCCAUCUCCCCAAAUUACUGAGGUAUGUCCUGGAGCAGAUUAUAUAACCCUUCCCAGCCUUGCAAUUUCUCCUGUAAAAUGGAUGUAGUAAUAGUAACUACCUCCUAGAGUUGCCCUAGCAGGACCAAGCUCAUAGGUACACUGAUUUGAGCAGUGUUGCUUCUUAGUCCCUGCCUCAGGUAGGCCCACUUUAGUUUGACAAAACCCCUUAAUCAAGUCUGGGUCCCAAGGGAACCUGACUUCUGAUAGUGUGGAUAGUGUGGGGUACAAACAUGGAUCAAGAAGUUUUCUGGGGGCUGGGGACAUGGCUCAAGUAGUAGCACGCUCACCUUGCAUGCAUGAGGCACUGGGUUCUAUCCUCAGCACCACAUAAAGAUAAAAUAAAGAUAUUGUGUCCACCUAAAGCUAAAAAAUAAUUUUAAAAGUUUUCUAUACCAGUUAAGUGCAUAAAACAACUUCUACAUAGAGCUUCCACAGCAACUUUCUGAUGGCAGGUCCACAGGCCUGGUUACCUCCAGUUGAGGCAAGGAGGCAGACAAAUGUUUCUUUCUGUAGCUUUGUCCAAGAUCCAAAGUUGUACUCGAGCUAUGGGAAAAUAAGUCCUCUCUGUGUGCAGGGACCUUGUAGAAAUUCUCUGUUCUUCCCUCCCAACAUCUCCCAUUGCUCCUCUGACCUUGGCUGUGAAUGGUUGGGCAGCCAUGUGAAAGAGGCUACAGGAGCUCAAGUUUCCUUCAGGAAUUGACAUUGGAGUCAGUUCCAUGCAACAUCUCAUUGUCACUUUUUCCUCAUUUUUUGAGUUAUAAUGUGCAUGCAGUAAAGUACACACAUAAUUGUAGCUUAGUUAAUUUUUAUAUAUGCAUAAUGUGUGAAACUACCACCUAUAUCAAGAUAGAAAGUGUCUAGCAUCCCAGAGACUUCAUCCAUCAGUAUCUGCCACCUGCUAGAGGUAACACCUAUUGUCUCCCCUCUCCUUAGUUUUUGCCUCUUUUUUUGGUCUUUAAAUGGAUUUGUAUAAUAACACUCCUGUAUCUAGCUGCUUUUGUUCAAUAUUGUGAGAUUAAUCCAUGUUAUUGAUAUCAGUUUAUUUUUCACUACUGUUUAGAAUUCCAUUAUAUGAAUAUACUAUAAAUUACUUGUUUUUAUGGCUGAUGUAUUUGUUAUUUCUAGUUUUUUACUCCUAUGAAUAAAGCUGCCACAAUGGUUUGGAUGUAGUUUUGGUGUAUCCCCUAAGGCUUUGUGUCCUGGAAGCCUGUUCCUUGGUGUGGUGAUAUUGACUUUAUGUGUGUGUGUGUGGG